rnacentral:lncRNA from 1 species
AUCCAUCUAUCCAACAAUCAGUGUGUGCAUGUGUGCACAAAGAAUUUUAAGUACAUAAUGAGACACUAUGAUCAAUAAUAAACCAGUUCCAUGCCAGCAGCAUGGUAAAGGAGUUAAAUAUGAAGUCCUAUUCUUUGAGAUAUAAACCAGAAUAAGUUGACAGUUACCCGGUGCAUAUCCUUUAAAAAAUACAUUUCUUUCUUUAGCAUGAAAUUGACCUAGAAUUGAUCCCAAGAUCCAAGAAGACAUCAAUUUCUUAUAAGGAGAUAGAGCUUCUGAUAGGCUUACAUUAACUUUAAAUCAUAGGGCAACCAUGUAAGAAAGGCCACAAAGAAAAUCUGUUUUCAGAUGGGGAGUUUACACUACAGAUGUGCAGAGGAAAACUACCUUCAUCUAAGUUGCUCUAUGGUUGCCACUUUCCCAAUAUGCACACACACACACACGCUCAAUAGCAUGUGAACAUGCAUACACAUACCUGCACAUGUACACAUAUGUUCAUAUACAGACUGGCUUAAUUUGGAUUAUUGUGUAGCAGCCACAGCUAGGCUUUGGAAGAAGACAAACUUAAAUUGAAACCUUAUGACCUUGAUUUGGUCAGUCUCUUGGUCAAUCCAGAAUAUCAAUAGUAUUCACCUUAUAGACUUGUUGGAGUGCUAAGAUAAUACCUGCGUUGGUGUUCUCCAGAGAAACAGAACCAAUGGGAUGUGUGUAUGGGAGAAAGAGAGGGAGAGAAAUUGAAUGAUUAAUUUAAAGGAAUUAGCUCAUGUGAUGGUAAAGUCUUGGCAACAAAAAAAUCUAUAUAGGGUAGAUUAAUUAACAGGUAACAGGUAACAGACUAGAGACCCAGGGAAGAGGUAGGUAGUUUGAGACUAAAGACAGUUUGCUGGCAGAAUUCCUUCUUUCCCAGGGGGAGUCACUCUUGGUUCUAUUAAAUUCUUCCACUAAUUAGACAAGGCUCACUCACCUUACAGAGGGUAAUCUGUUUUAUGAGAAGUCUACUGAUUUGAAUGUUGAAUUUUAUACAAAAAUAAGUUUACGGGUACAUCCAGAAUGAUACUUGACCAGAUAUUCUGGGUACUGUGGCCGAGUUGAUACAUAGAUGAACUAUCAUACAAUGUAAAUAAUUACUUAGCGGUAUGCCUGACACAUAAUAAAUACUCAUCAUGUUACUCAUAAAGUAUUAGCCAGUAUCUUAGGCAGUCACAUCAGGGCUUCAUUUGACAGCAGUUUUGUCUCAGACUCUAUAUAGGACAGGACUCCCAGAAGAUUCAAAACCAGACUAUGUAACUUUAAUUAGAAUUGUUAAAUUCCUUGAACUCAUAGAUUAGGGAUAAUUCAGUCUUGUAUGGAAAAAUCCUACAGAUUUCUGUCUUUUUGCUACUAAUUACUGUCUCUGAAGGUUUUUAGGUACAAUUUGAUGUUUUUUCCCUUGCUUCAUCUCUCAUAGUCUUGGACUUGUUUCUCCCAACAGGCUAAAAGGCUUGUUUUCUUAAAAAUAUGAUUACACUCACUUGAAAAUAUCAAGAAGUAAGGUAAUUAGGCACAGGGAUGAUUAAGUCAACACUCUUGGAAAUUACCUUGAAAAUAAUGUAGAUAAUUAUAUCCCCAUAUUUCUCACUUAAAUUGAAUCAGACCAACAAGAGCAAAAACAACCAUUGAAAAUUGUUGAUCUCUUGGAGUUCCCAUCAUGGUGCAGUGGCCAAUGAAUCCGACUAGGAACCAUGAAGUUGCGGGUUCAAUCCCUGGCCUUGCUCAGUGGGUUAACGAUCUGGCGUUGCUUUGAGCUGUGGUGUAGGUCGCAGACACAGCUCAGAUCCCGUGUUGCUGUGGUUCUGGCAUAGGCUGGUGUCUAUAGCUCCGAUUAGACCCCUAGCCUGAGAACCUCCAUAUGCCGUGUGAAGCGGCCCUGGAAAAGGCAAAAAGACAAAAAAAAAAAAUUGUUGAUCUCAUAAUUUGAGCUUUCUGAAAGCAAUGUUCAGUAACCUGUGCAGUUGAUUAAAUGCCUAGGCAGACAUCUAUUUCUAAGGCAGCUGCUAAAAAUAAGAAAUUAAUUAUUGAAAGGCUUAAUCCUGGACUCUUUUUAUCACUAUGCAAUACAUCUCUAUCUUAUUAGCUAUUUGGUAAAGAAUGAUGAAAGUGACUAUUUUUCAGAAGAAUUGUUAUCAAUAACUCCCUAAAGCCAUUCCAAGGCCUUUUCAUCAAGUGUCUGCACAUCCAUAUUAGCAGAUCAAAUUUACUAUUUUUACAGUACUUUUAGCAUGGCAAGAUCCAAAUCACUUUACUUAGAAGGAAAUUAUUAGAACCUUUGUAUAAUAAAGACUUUGUUGAUAUGUAGACUUGACAUGAAAGGAAAAAAAUAUUGCUGAAUGGUAUAUAUACUGUGGAUAAUGGUUUACUUAUGUGAGUAGUGGUCUUUGGGAUGAAUGAGCAGUUUCAAGCUUAAGAUUAUUCCUCAUUCUUCCCUUCUCAAAGCAGUUUCACCUAUGAUAACCAUAAGGUUGGUUUAUAAAUCUGUUUGUGUCUGUUUUUUAAAUAAAUUCUCUUGAAUGAUUUUUAUUAGAUUGUACAUAUAAGUGAUGUCAUAUGGUAUUCGUCUUUCUCUGUCUGAUUUACUUCACUCAGUUAAGAUAAUCUCUAGUUCCAUCCAUGUUGCUGUGAAAACAUUGGAAGGGUGGGAACAACAUAUAUACACUACUGUAUAAAAUAAAUGAUUAACAAGAACCUACUGUAUUAACACAGGAAAAUCUACUCAAUGGUUUGUAACACCCUAUAUGGGAAAAAAGAAUGGAGGAGUUCCCAUAGUGUCGCAGUGGAAACGAGUCUGACUAGAACCAUGAGGUUGUGGGAUCAAACCCUGUCCUUGCUCAGUCGGUUAAGGAUCUGGCAUUACUGGGAGCUGUGGUGUAGGUCACAGAGAUGUGGCUCAGAUCCCACAUUGCUGUAGCUGUGGCGAAGGCUGGUGGCUAUAGCUCUGAUUAGACCCCUAGCCUGGGAACCUCCAUAUGCCACAAGUAUGGCCCUAAAAAAAAAAUACAAAAAGACAAAAAAAAAAAAAGAAUGAAUAUACUUACAUGUAUGACUGAUUCACUUUGCUGCACACCUGAAACUAAGACAACAUUGAAAAUCAACUAUACUCCAAUAAAAUUAAAUUUAAAAAAUUAUCCCUCAAAUGGAAUUAAAGGAAAAAUUAGGUAAUGUUUUGUGGAUUGUGAAUAUCUACAACAAAUUACAGGGUAAUCACAAAACAACACAUUUCACAUUCAGGACAAAUUCUUUUUUUUUUUUUUUUCUUUUUUGGUCUUUUUUUCUUUUUAGGGUCACACUCAUGGCAUAUGGUGAUUCCAGGCCUAGGGGUCCAAUCAGAACUGUAGCCAGUGGCCUCUGCCAGAGCCAGAGCAACGUGGGAUCUGAGCCAUGUCUGCAAUCUACACCACAUCUCAUGUCAACUCCUGAUCCUUAUCCCACUGAGCAGGGCCAGGGAUCGAACCUGUGUCCUCAUGGAUGCUAGUCGUGUUCACUAACCACUGAGCCAUGAUGGGAACUCCUCAGGACAAAUUCCUAAUUGUACUGCUCCUAGAUCUUCUGGAAAGAAGUGGCAGUAUGGAGAUUUAUCAACUCCCAUUCAUUCUGCCCACUGGGUGACCUACCUGGGUCUGAUGGAAUCUCCUCCUCAAGGGAGAACCAACUCAGAGAGUUAUUGAUGAUGAAGUCCCCAUGAGCUCUAGAAGUGGGGCAAUCAAUGGUGGUAUGUAGAACUGCCAGAAAUAAACGGAGCCAGAGGAUAAGUAUGCUUAACGGCAGAGAGCUGGGGUGACCAGCUCAAAGAAACCUUAUCCGGGUGGGGUGGAUGGGGGAAAUACUUUCCAGGGAAGUUACGAUUGAGGGAAAUAAUGCUUAGGGUGGCCAGGUAGCACUGCAUGGAAUUAUUUAAAGGGGCUGGAGUGUUCUGGGUCUAAGGUAUUUUGGUGCCAGUGUUGCGAAAUUGGGAGAUUGCAGGGAUUAAGUGUGCAAUGUCAGGUCAGACACCAUGGGAAGCUAAUCUUAAUUUAAACUUACAACUUUAAAGACCAUCAGUAAUUAGUUACAUGGUUUUCAUCAAUAUAUAAUUCAGAGACACUAAAUUUUUAUAGGCUCCUUAGUUCAGAGGCAGAGGAAGUGAUAAGUCCAUUUGACUUUUUAAACAAUGUGAAACUCCUGUAAUUCAUUAUUUUCAAUGAGUAUUUUCAUAUACAUAUAUAUAUAAAGUAUGUCAUUCCAUGAAUAUGAAUAUAUAUUUUACUCAUAUAAAACAUAGUAAUAUAUUGAUAAAAUUAUAUAUGAAUAUAAAUAUAAGAUACAAAUAUAUUUCAAUUGUAGUUUAAUACAUUUGUAUAUAUUUCAGGUAAAUACCUGUUCUGAUAUAUUGCUUGUGUUUUCUUCAUUGGGAACAUCAAUUAUACAUAUAUUGAAACUUCUCUUUCUACUUAUGUUUUUUUCCUCAAAGUAUUUAAUGUUUUUUAUUUGAUAUUUUUAACUUACAUGUUUUCAACAUCUAAUUCAAUUGAAGAAUUUGUGUUUUGUGUUCCUUUUGUUUUAGACUUAUUUUUUUAAAAAAAUAUCUAUUUCGUAUUGAUUUCUAAAACCCAUUAAAAAAAUAAUUUUAUGGUUGCACCCAUGGCAUAUGGAAGUUUCCUGGCCAGGGGUUGAAUAAAACCCAUUUAAUUUAAUUUUUUGUUUUGUUUUGUUUUUGUGGCCUUUCCUGUAGCAUGUGCAAGUUCCUGGCCUAGGGAUAGAAUCUGCACCACACUAGCGGCCUGAGCCUCUGCAAUGAAAAAUGCCGUAUCCUUAACCUGCUGUGCCACCAGGGAACUUUGCUAAAACCCAUUUUUGAGUUCUACUAUUAAUCACUUAUGCUGUACAUUCAUAUUUUGUAUAGUGUUUAUAUAUUUCUAUAUAUCUGGAAAUACUGGGCUAUAUUUUCCACCAAUUUAGUCUUGCUGGCAUGAUGUAAUUGUAGGGAUGUUAUUCUAGUCCUUUUCCUCAUUCAUUAUGUCUUUUUAUAAUAUUUCACUGAAAAUAUUUGUUUGAUUAUUUUUAAAUUAUAUUUUUUAUGCUGUUUCUUUUAGAAGGGAGAAGUUGGUCAUAAAAGCUGUUUUAAAACUUCUGUCUAUAAAUACCUCUUUUGUGAAAUCUUAACCCAUCUUCUCAUACUUAGGAGAUUUUCUUAUUCUUUUCUCCACCCCAUUUUUACCUCUUUUUCUAUUGCCUCUGUUUUUCCCAAUUUUAAAUCCUUUUCCAAAUGUUUCUCUGUGGUUGCUGUUUGUCCUGGGGGCUUUGGCAGACUGCUUUAAAGAAUGUAUAACCUAAAAAAAAAGCAAAAAACAAAACUCCAUAUGCUGCAGGUGCAGCCCUUAAAAAAAAAAAAAAAAAAAAAA